GUUAGACCUUUUGCUAAUGUAGUCUGAAGCUUGGUGGCCUUUGACAAACCCUUCCUGAUCAGAAGAAAUUAAAUGUACACAGUUCCAAAGGAAUAUGGUAUGAACAUUUAUUUUUUGCUGAUUUAGGUCAGUUAGUAUUUAAUUCAGGAAAUAGCUUUUGGAUAUACAUCCAGUGAACAAUAUUCACUAUAAUAUAUAAGAUGAUGGACUAAGCAGG